CAGUAGCCGCGGUAAUACGUAGGGUGCAAGCGUUAAUUGGAAUUACUGGGCGUAAAGCGUGCGCAGGCGGUUAUAUAAGACAGAUGUGAAAUCCCCGGGCUCAACCUGGGAACUGCAUUUGUGACUGUAUAGCUAGAGUACGGCAGAGGGGGAUGGAAUUCCGCGUGUAGCAGUGAAAUGCGUAGAUAUGCGGAGGAACACCGAUGGCGAAGGCAAUCCCCUGGGCCUGUACUGACGCUCAUGCACGAAAGCGUGGGGAGCAAACAGGAUUAGAUACCCCUGUAGUCCCUGUCUCUUAUAC
rnacentral:rRNA from 1 species